rnacentral:misc_RNA from 1 species
GAUGAAGAGCGCAGCAAAAUGCGAUAAGUAAUGUGAAUUGCAGAAUUCAGUGAAUCAUCGAAUCUUUGAACGCACAUUGCGCCCGCCAGUAUUCUGGCGGGCAUGCCUGUUCGAGCGUCAUUUCAACCCUCAAGCACAGCUUGGUGUUGGGACUCGCGUUAAUUCGCGUUCCCCAAAUUGAUUGGCGGUCACGUCGAGCUUCCAUAGCGUAGUAGUAAAACCCUCGUUACUGGUAAUCGUCGCGGCCACGCCGUUAAACCCCAACUUCUGAAUGUUGACCUCGGAUCAGGUAGGAAUACCCGCUGAACUUAAGCAUAUCAAUAAGCGGAGGA